GUGGCUCUGUCUGCCCUGAAGGUCAACGUUGGCGUGGGCGUCAUCAUGCUGCUCACCGCCGUGCUCUUCACCGCCCAGGCCGCCAUGGGGGUGGUCAUGCUGAAGAAGGUGCACUCCCUCUACAGGCAGACUGGCGCCAGUUUCGAGAAGGCCCAGGCCGAGUUUGCCACCGGUGUGCUUUCCAACCAGGCAGUGCGAAAUGCAGCCGCCAGCGCCACCGCCUCUGCUGCCCAGGGGGCCUUCACUGGGGCACGAUAGAGAGAGGACGGAGAUGGAGAGAGAGCAAGUGGGAGGGGAUGCGAGGAGUAGGGGCCGAGGAGGAGGAGGAGGAGGAGGAAGAUGAUGGGGAGCGGUCUGGGUUUAGGUGGUGUGUCCUUGGGUGGCUACUAGUCUUAAAGUCUUCACAGACAUGGUGGCCUCAUCGGUUGUUGUGGACAAACGAUUGUGUGUGUGUGUGUGUGUGUGUGUGUGUGCGUGCCUGUAUGCCUGUAUGCACGUGUGUGCCUGUAUGCACCUGUGUGUGUGCGUGUGUGCCUGUAUGCACCUGUGUGCGCGUGUGCCUGUAUGCACCUGUGUGUGUGCGUGUAAGUGUGUAAGCAAGUGUUGGGUGUGGGUUUGUUUGUGUCAAAGUUGGUAAUGCACGUUGCCCAUUACAGAUAGAUGGCGUAGAGGCAGUAGGAGGAGACUUGUGUCCAUGAUCUGUCCACAUGAGGUUUGCGAGAAAACUGGAUUGUUUUCCCUUUAUAAUGUAUUUACUAUAUACCUAAAGUUUGGGAUAAACACUUCACUCACAGGUCUGUCUGCACAGGUACAUGCGAGUAUCCAAAUAGUAGUAGCGGCAUCAGUAGAUAUUAGCGUUAGUGUUGUGAAUAUGAUUCUUGGGCAACGCUACACGCUCAUGUGGAGACACUGUACCAAUGCUACCCAGGCAUAUAAGUUGGGAAGAGGUGUGUGUGUGCGCGUGUGUGUGUGUGUGUGUGUGUGCGUGCAUGUAUGUAUGUAUGUAUGUAUGUAUGUGUGUGUGUGUGUGUGUGUGUGUGUGUGUGUGUGUUUGUUUUUUUGUUUUUUUGUUGGGUUGGGUUGGAUGGGUAUGGCGGGGAGGGGGGAGGGGUUAUUACACGAUAAUUCCUUAUAAUCAAAGACCUACGGCUGGUCUUGUCAGACACUACUGAGAAGUAGAUCAUGUGUAGCAUAUCCAUUACUACACUAUGGUGGCUUCCCCCUACCCCUGCUCCAUCCCUCCCUCUCUCCCUCUGGUCCACCAUCAGUAUUGCAAGAUAUUUCUCUCACUGUAUCGCCCCCCCUCACUUGCACCUCAACUGUUCCCAGGUCAGUCCAGCACUAGUGGCAGUCCAGUGAAUAGUCCAACAGUGAAGACUCUCAAAAGAGGCCUCCCCUCCUCCGUCGACUAAUUCAAAAUUAGAAGAAAAUAAAAUCCAUGGAGAUAUGAUGAGAUGUUGCUUUGAAGCUUUUUUUGCUGUAAAAAAAAAAAUAUUAGUUUGUUUUUCUGUUAUUUUUGUUACCCCUUCCCUACCUUACGGUUUUCCCUUAUCUGAAAAGAAACACUGGCGUAUCGCUCCCUCCUUUUCUUGUGCAUUUCUGCCGCAGGUGAUCUCUCCUUUACGCUUUAACAAGGCUGCUGCCUUCUGUCGCCUCAGUCAAUACCCAUUUCGGUAACCAACAGUAGCACCCCACUUUCCCCAAACAAGUACUGCUAUUCCUCUCUCUUAAUCAUACCUGGAGGUUUGUGGCAAAGCGCAUUAUGAAUGCAAGAGCAAAACGCAAACCAAUGAACUAGCAAGAUUUUUUUUUUUGAAUUGCAUGUUGUAUAUGUUGGAAUGAAAGAAAAUAAAUAAAAAGGCAAGAGCAAGCAAUGAAGAUGAUCUUGAUUGGCAGUGCAGUGUAAAAAACACACAUCCACACACUCACAUGCACACAUGCACACACACAUACAUACACACACACACACACACACACACACACACACACACACACACACACACACACACACACACACAAGAUUGAUGUAACCUGUACUUAACUAAAGCUGAGUUGUUCAGUUAUUAUCUGUGGCCAAUGUUUUUAUGUUCCUAACAGUGAGCUCUAACAGUUUUUACGUUUUAUUCUUUACUUUAUUUGUGAUGUGAAGGAGAAUGCCAAUUGAAGUAUUUUUCAAAAUGCCAAAAUAAAGAACAAUAAAUGCAUAA